GCGAUCAUACCAGCACUAAUGCACCGGAUCCCAUCAGAACUCCGAAGUUAAGCGUGCUUGGGCGAGAGCAGUACUAGGAUGGGUGACCGGAAGUCCUCGUGUUGCACCU
rnacentral:rRNA from 1 species